rnacentral:rRNA from 1 species
UGGGGAAUAUUGCACAAUGGGCGCAAGCCUGAUGCAGCCAUGCCGCGUGUGUGAAGAAGGCCUUCGGGUUGUAAAGCACUUUCAGCGGGGAGGAAGGCGGUGAGGUUAAUAACCUCAUCGAUUGACGUUACCCGCAGAAGAAGCACCGGCUAACUCCGUGCCAGCAGUCGCGGUAAUACGGAGGGUGCAAGCGUUAAUCGGAAUUACUGGGCGUAAAGCGCACGCAGGCGGUCUGUCAAGUCGGAUGUGAAAUCCCCGGGCUCAACCUGGGAACUGCAUUCGAAACUGGCAGGCUAGAGUCUUGUAGAGGGGGGUAGAAUUCCAGGUGUAGCGGUGAAAUGCGUAGAGAUCUGGAGGAAUACCGGUGGCGAAGGCGGCCCCCUGGACAAAGACUGACGCUCAGGUGCGAAAGCGUGGGGAGCAAACAGG